rnacentral:misc_RNA from 1 species
UACGUAGGUGGCGAGCGUUAUCCGGAAUUACUGGGCGUAAAGCGCACGCAGGCGGUUUGUCAAGUUCGACGUGAAAGCUCCCGGCUUAACUGGGAGAGGUCGUUGAAAACUGACAAGCUUGAGGCAACGAGAGGGGUGUAGAAUUCCCGGUGUAGUGGUGGAAUGCGUAGAUAUCGGGAGGAAUACCAGUGGCGAAAGCGGCACCCUAGCGUUGACCUGACGCUCAUGUGCGAAAGCGUGGGAGCGAACGGG